rnacentral:misc_RNA from 1 species
GAUGAAGAACGUAGCAAAAUGCGAUAAGUAGUGUGAAUAGCAGAAUUCAGUGAAUCAUCGAAUAUUUGAACGCACAUUGCGCCCCUUGGUAUUCCAUGGGGCAUGCCUGUUCGAGCGUCAUUGACACCCUCAAGCUCUGCUUGGUGUUGGGCCGUUGUCGUUUCCUCCCCCCCCCGGCGACACAGCGACACCCCUCAAAGUCAUUGGCGGCUUUCCUGCCCAGCUUUCCCGCGCAGCAGUUCGCGCUUCGGAGACCACUUGGCAGGUUGGCAUCCAUCAAGCUGACCCCUCACGCUUGACCUCGGAUCAGGUAGGGACUACCCGCUGAACUUAAGCAUAUCAAUAAGCGGAGGA